UACGGAGGAUGCAAGCGUUAUCCGGAAUCAUUGGGCGUAAAGCGUCCGCAGGUGGCUUUGUAAGUCUGCUGUUAAAGAGUGAGGCUCAACCUCAUAAGAGCAGUGGAAACUACAAGGCUAGAGUACGUUCGGGGCAGAGGGAAUUCCUGGUGUAGCGGUGAAAUGCGUAGAGAUCAGGAAGAACACCGGUGGCGAAAGCGCUCUGCUAGGCCGUAACUGACACUGAGGGACGAAAGCUAGGGGAGCGAAUGGG
rnacentral:rRNA from 1 species